rnacentral:lncRNA from 10 species
ACGUUGCAGUGCCUGCCCCAGAGAGAACUGCAUGGACCAGGUUUUUAUUAUGUCGAUCAUGCUUCAAUAAGGUGGUUUUUUAAAAAAGUCUGCUGAAAGCUGGAAGCGGCCACUUCAACAUCACCCUCAGAAUGGAGCAUACUCAAGGGGAAGCCAAGCUGGAGUACAGAACAAGGAAAAGACUUGGUCUCAUCUGAAUCCAUGAACGCAGCUCUGUCUGAAAGUGAUUCUUCUGGAAUUUUCAAUGACUGGAGU